GACGGAAGGUGCAAGCGUUGCUCGGAAUCACUGGGCGUAAAGGGUGCGUAGGCGGCUUGGUGGGUCUGGUGUGAAAGCCCCGGGCUCAGCCCGGGAAGGGCGCUAGAAACUGCCGAGCUCGAGUGCCGGAGGGGAGAGUGGGAAUUCCUGGUGUAGCGGUGAAAUGCGUAGAUAUCGGAAGGAACAUCAGUGGCGAAAGCGACUUCCUGGACCAGUACCGACGUUCAGGCACGAAAGCGUGGGGAGCAAACAGG
rnacentral:rRNA from 1 species